rnacentral:rRNA from 1 species
GACGAACGCUGGCGGCGUGCCUAAUACAUGCAAGUAGAACGCAGUUGCGAACGGGUGAGUAACGCGUCGGUAACUGCCUCAUAGCGGGGGAUAACUAUUUGAAACGAUAGCUAAUACCGCAUAAUGUGAGAUGGACCUGCGUUGUAUUAGCUCGUUGGUGAGGUAAAGGCUAACAAAGGGGACGAUACAUAGCCGACCUGAGAGGGUGAUCGGCCACACUGGAACUGAGACACGGCCCAGACUCCUCCGGGAGGAAGCAGUGGGGAACAUUCGGCAAUGGACGAAAGCCUGACCGAGCAACGCCGCGUGAGUGAAGAAGGUUUUCGGAUCGUAAAACUCUGUUGUUAGAGAAGCGGUAUCUAACCAGAAAGCCACGGCUAACUACGUGCCAGCAGCCGCGGUAAUUC